AAGUCGAGCGAACGGACGAGAAGCUUGCUUCUCUGAUGUUAGCGGCGGACGGGUGAGUAACACGUGGAUAACCUACCUAUAAGACUGGGAUAACUUCGGGAAACCGGAGCUAAUACCGGAUAAUAUUUUGAACCGCAUGGUUCAAAAGUGAAAGACGGUCUUGCUGUCACUUAUAGAUGGAUCCGCGCUGCAUUAGCUAGUUGGUAAGGUAACGGCUUACCAAGGCAACGAUGCAUAGCCGACCUGAGAGGGUGAUCGGCCACACUGGAACUGAGACACGGUCCAGACUCCUACGGGAGGCAGCAGUAGGGAAUCUUCCGCAAUGGGCGAAAGCCUGACGGAGCAACGCCGCGUGAGUGAUGAAGGUCUUCGGAUCGUAAAACUCUGUUAUUAGGGAAGAACAUAUGUGUAAGUAACUGUGCACAUCUUGACGGUACCUAAUCAGAAAGCCACGGCUAACUACGUGCCAGCAGCCGCGGUAAUACGUAGGUGGCAAGCGUUAUCCGGAAUUAUUGGGCGUAAAGCGCGCGUAGGCGGUUUUUUAAGUCUGAUGUGAAAGCCCACGGCUCAACCGUGGAGGGUCAUUGGAAACUGGAAAACUUGAGUGCAGAAGAGGAAAGUGGAAUUCCAUGUGUAGCG
rnacentral:rRNA from 1 species